CAAAAGCAAGGAAGACAAACGUGGUACACCAAGGCUAACCACGUAGCCCAGAAAACUACAAAUCAUGACACAAGCAAAGCAAAAGCACUGACUUGGUGGCCCAGGCAGGCCAUCCCGGGAGAGAACAAGCACUAUGGAAGGAGGGGCCUGAGAAGCCCAUCUAAGAUGCCUCACCCUCAAAUUGGCGAUAGUUGCUGCCACAUGGGCAGCUUUGUUGGCAGUGCGAGGAAUCCAUGCCCGUUGAAUGGAUGAGCAUGUGUUUAAUUAUUUAUGUCCUAAACCCUAAACUUUGUUUAUUUAUUUAUGUACAACGUGCGUUUAAUUUGAAAGUGGGUAACGAUUUGGUUUUAACAUAUUGGUCCUUUUUUUGGGUCGUAGGUUUU
rnacentral:lncRNA from 1 species